rnacentral:rRNA from 1 species
CGGAGGGGCUAGCGUUGUUCGGAAUUACUGGGGCGUAAAGCGCACGUAGGCGGCUUUGUAAGUUAGAGGUGAAAGCCCGGAGCUCAACUUCGGAAUUGCCUUUAAGACUGCAUCGCUUGAAUCAUGGAGAGGUCAGUGGAAUUCCGAGUGUAGAGGUGAAAUUCGUAGAUAUUCGGAAGAACACCAGUGGCGAAGGCGACUGACUGGACAUGUAUUGACGCUGAGGUGCGAAAGCGUGGGGGAGCAAACAGGAUU